UGGGGAAUAUUGGACAAUGGGCGAAAGCCUGAUCCAGCAAUGCCGCGUGAGUGAUGAAGGCCUUAGGGUUGUAAAGCUCUUUUACCAGGGAUGAUAAUG
rnacentral:rRNA from 1 species